rnacentral:rRNA from 1 species
GACGAACGCUGGCGGCGUGCUUAACACAUGCAAGUCGAACGGUAAGGCCCUUCGGGGUACACGAGUGGCGAACGGGUGAGUAACACGUGGGUGAUCUGCCCUGCACUUCGGGAUAAGCCUGGGAAACUGGGUCUAAUACCGGAUAGGACCACUGCCUGCAUGGGUGGUGGUGGAAAGCUUUUGCGGUGUGGGAUGGGCCCGCGGCCUAUCAGCUUGUUGGUGGGGUGAUGGCCUACCUAGGCGACGACGGGUAGCCGGCCUGAGAGGGUGACCGGCCACACUGGGACUGAGAUACGGCCCAGACGCCUACGGGAGGCAGCAGUGGGGAAUAUUGCACAAUGGGCGCAAGCCUGAUGCAGCGACGCCGCGUGAGGGAUGACGGCCUUCGGGUUGUAAACCUCCUUCAGCACCGACGAAGCGCAAGUGACGGUAGGUGCAGAAGAAGGACCGGCCAACUACGUGCCAGCCGCCGCGGUAA